rnacentral:rRNA from 1 species
CCUACGGGUGGCUGCAGUGGGGAAUAUUGGACAAUGGGGGCAACCCUGAUCCAGCCAUGCCGCGUGUGUGAAGAAGGCCCUCGGGUUGUAAAGCACUUUCAGUGAGGAAGAACGCCUGGUGGUUAAUACCCAUCAGGAAAGACAUCACUCACAGAAGAAGCACCGGCUAACUCCGUGCCAGCAGCCGCGGUAAUACGGAGGGUGCGAGCGUUAAUCGGAAUUACUGGGCGUAAAGCGCGCGUAGGUGGCUUGAUAAGCCGGUUGUGAAAGCCCCGGGCUCAACCUGGGAACGGCAUCCGGAACUGUCAAGCUAGAGUGCAGGAGAGGAAGGUAGAAUUCCCGGUGUAGCGGUGAAAUGCGUAGAGAUCGGGAGGAAUACCAGUGGCGAAGGCGGCCUUCUGGACUGACACUGACACUGAGGUGCGAAAGCGUGGGUAGCAAACAGGAUUAGAUACCCCUGCAGUC